rnacentral:rRNA from 1 species
UACGUAGGGUGCAAGCGUUAAUCGGAAUUAUUGGGCGUAAAGAGCUCGUAGGCGGCUUGUCGCGUCGGAUGUGAAAGCCCGGGGCUUAACUCCGGGUCUGCAUUCGAUACGGGCAGGCUAGAGUUCGGUAGGGGAGAUCGGAAUUCCUGGUGUAGCGGUGAAAUGCGCAGAUAUCAGGAGGAACACCGGUGGCGAAGGCGGUUCUCUGGGCCUUAACUGACGCUGAGGAGCGAAAGUGUGGGGAGCGAACAGG